rnacentral:rRNA from 1 species
UACGAAGGGGGCUAGCGUUGCUCGGAAUCACUGGGCGUAAAGCGCACGUAGGCGGAUUGUUAAGUCAGGGGUGAAAUCCUGGAGCUCAACUCCAGAACUGCCUUUGAUACUGGCGAUCUCGAGUCCGGGAGAGGUGAGUGGAACUGCGAGUGUAGAGGUGAAAUUCGUAGAUAUUCGCAAGAACACCAGUGGCGAAGGCGCUCACUGGCCCGGUACUGACGCUGAGGUGCGAAAGCGUGGGGAGCAAGCAGGG